UACGAAGGGGGCUAGCGUUGUUCGGAAUCACUGGGCGUAAAGGGCGCGUAGGCGGCUUUAUAAGUCGGGGGUGAAAGCCUGUGGCUCAACCACAGAAUUGCCUUCGAUACUGUAGAGCUUGAGACCGGAAGAGGUAAGUGGAACUGCGAGUGUAGAGGUGAAAUUCGUAGAUAUUCGCAAGAACACCAGUGGCGAAGGCGGCUUACUGGCCCGGUACUGACGCUGAGGCACGAAAGCGUGGGGAGCAAACAGG
rnacentral:rRNA from 1 species